UUUAUGGAGAGUUUGAUCCUGGCUCAGGAUGAACGCUGGCGGCGUGCCUAAUACAUGCAAGUCGAGCGAACGGACGAGAAGCUUGCUUCUCUGAUGUUAGCGGCGGACGGGUGAGUAACACGUGGAUAACCUACCUAUAAGACUGGGAUAACUUCGGGAAACCGGAGCUAAUACCGGAUAAUAUUUUGAACCGCAUGGUUCAAAAGUGAAAGACGGUCUUGCUGUCACUUAUAGAUGGAUCCGCGCUGCAUUAGCUAGUUGGUAAGGUAACGGCUUACCAAGGCAACGAUGCAUAGCCGACCUGAGAGGGUGAUCGGCCACACUGGAACUGAGACACGGUCCAGACUCCUACGGGAGGCAGCAGUAGGGAAUCUUCCGCAAUGGGCGAAAGCCUGACGGAGCAACGCCGCGUGAGUGAUGAAGGUCUUCGGAUCGUAAAACUCUGUUAUUAGGGAAGAACAUAUGUGUAAGUAACUGUGCACAUCUUGACGGUACCUAAUCAGAAAGCCACGGCUAACUACGUGCCAGCAGCCGCGGUAAUACGUAGGUGGCAAGCGUUAUCCGGAAUUAUUGGGCGUAAAGCGCGCGUAGGCGGUUUUUUAAGUCUGAUGUGAAAGCCCACGGCUCAACCGUGGAGGGUCAUUGGAAACUGGAAAACUUGAGUGCAGAAGAGGAAAGUGGAAUUCCAUGUGUAGCGGUGAAAUGCGCAGAGAUAUGGAGGAACACCAGUGGCGAAGGCGACUUUCUGGUCUGUAACUGACGCUGAUGUGCGAAAGCGUGGGGAUCAAACAGGAUUAGAUACCCUGGUAGUCCACGCCGUAAACGAUGAGUGCUAAGUGUUAGGGGUUUCCGCCCCUUAGUGCUGCAGCUAACGCAUUAAGCACUCCGCCUGGGGAGUACGACCGCAAGGUUGAAACUCAAAGGAAUUGACGGGGACCCGCACAAGCGGUGGAGCAUGUGGUUUAAUUCGAAGCAACGCGAAGAACCUUACCAAAUCUUGACAUCCUUUGACAACUCUAGAGAUAGAGCCUUCCCCUUCGGGGGACAAAGUGACAGGUGGUGCAUGGUUGUCGUCAGCUCGUGUCGUGAGAUGUUGGGUUAAGUCCCGCAACGAGCGCAACCCUUAAGCUUAGUUGCCAUCAUUAAGUUGGGCACUCUAAGAUGACUGCCGGUGACAAACCGGAGGAAGGUGGGGAUGACGUCAAAUCAUCAUGCCCCUUAUGAUUUGGGCUACACACGUGCUACAAUGGACAAUACAAAGGGCAGCGAAACCGCGAGGUCAAGCAAAUCCCAUAAAGUUGUUCUCAGUUCGGAUUGUAGUCUGCAACUCGACUACAUGAAGCUGGAAUCGCUAGUAAUCGUAGAUCAGCAUGCUACGGUGAAUACGUUCCCGGGUCUUGUACACACCGCCCGUCACACCACGAGAGUUUGUAACACCCGAAGACGGUGGAGUAACCUUUUAGGAGCUAGCCGUCGAAGGUGGGACAAAUGAUUGGGGUGAAGUCGUAACAAGGUAGCCGUAUCGGAAGGUGCGGCUGGAUCACCUCCUUUCU
rnacentral:rRNA from 1 species